GUUUAUUGUCAUUGAGUUGUCCGUCUGAGGACAUUUAUUCUCACUUGUCUGUAGGUAAAGUUUUCAGAUUUUUCAGCCUAUCUGCCUAUUUUCAUUGAAGAGCUCAGCAUAUAAUUUAAUUACUGCCUGGUCAGGUUUUACUGGCAGUAUUCUCAUGGAGCUCAAGCAUGUAGUUAUUUGUCUGCAUUGUGCUCACGUUGACACUACGUUUCAGCUUCCCUCUGUUAAGGUGCCUUUAAU